AAAAUUUAAUUAUGGUUUUGUAAAAAUUAAGUUUUUAUUAUUUAAAAUUAAUUUAAUUAAUAGACAAUUUUAUUUAUCUUGAUUUUAAUUUUUUGUACAAUUUUUGUUCCAGAAUAAUCGGCUAUACUUUUAAAAAUUAUACUUUAAGUUUUUUUAAUUUUUAAAUUCUUUUUUUUUUCCUUUUCAUUUUUUAGGGUAGAAUCUUUAAUUUUUUUAUUUUUUUUUUUUAAAAAUUAAAAUAAUUUUAAAAGAACUAGAUUAGAACCUAGUUAUUUCUUAUAAAUAAAUUCAUUAUUAGAGUAGAAUUUAAAUUGAAAGAAUUUUGGCAGACUUUUAAAUAAUUUUUGGAGCUUGAGUUAUAAUUGAUAAUCCCCGUUUAUUACUUAAUUUUUAAGAUUAUGUAUGAUUGUUUAGUUAAUCUUUAAGAGUUUAACUUUAAUUUAUUAAAUUUAAAAAUAAAUAUAUACUUAUUUUAUAUUUAAGUUUUCUUGAUCUACAAUUAUAUUUUUAAUGGAUUUCAAUUUAAUAUUUUGAUUGAAAUUGGAAAAAACAGUAAAUAAUUUUUUAUAUUUUGUUGAAGCUUAUUUAAAAGUGGUACAAAUCAUCCAUCAAUUGCCUUAAAGGUAAUAAGUUGUAGUAUAGUGACCUUAGAGGAAUCUGUGGUUAAU
rnacentral:ncRNA from 1 species